rnacentral:rRNA from 1 species
GAUGAACGCUGGCGGCGUGCCUAAUACAUGCAAGUCGAGCGAACGGACGAGAAGCUUGCUUCUCUGAUGUUAGCGGCGGACGGGUGAGUAACACGUGGAUAACCUACCUAUAAGACUGGGAUAACUUCGGGAAACCGGAGCUAAUACCGGAUAAUAUUUUGAACCGCAUGGUUCAAAAGUGAAAGACGGUCUUGCUGUCACUUAUAGAUGGAUCCGCGCUGCAUUAGCUAGUUGGUAAGGUAACGGCUUACCAAGGCAACGAUGCAUAGCCGACCUGAGAGGGUGAUCGGCCACACGGGAACUGAGACACGGUCCAGACUCCUACGGGAGGCAGCAGUAGGGAAUCUUCCGCAAAGGGCGAAAGCCUGACGGAGCAACGCCGCGUGAGUGAUGAAGGUCUUCGGAUCGUAAAACUCUGUUAUUAGGGAAGAACAUAUGUGUAAGUAACUGUGCACAUCUUGACGGUACCUAAUCAGAAAGCCACGGCUAACUACGUG